rnacentral:rRNA from 1 species
GACGAACGCUGGCGGCGUGCCUAAUACAUGCAAGUCGAGCGGACGAAUCGAAAGCUUGCUUUUGAUUCGUUAGCGGCGGACGGGUGAGUAACACGUGGGCAACCUGCCCUGUAGACGGGGAUAACACCGAGAAAUCGGUGCUAAUACCGGAUAACACGAAAUGUCGCAUGACGUUUCGUUGAAAGACGGCGCAAGCUGUCGCUACAGGAUGGGCCCGCGGCGCAUUAGCUAGUUGGUGAGGUAACGGCUCACCAAGGCGACGAUGCGUAGCCGACCUGAGAGGGUGAUCGGCCACACUGGGACUGAGACACGGCCCAGACUCCUACGGGAGGCAGCAGUAGGGAAUCUUCCGCAAUGGACGAAAGUCUGACGGAGCAACGCCGCGUGAGUGAAGAAGGCCUUCGGGUCGUAAAGCUCUGUUGUUAGGGAGGAACAAGUAACGCAGUAACUGGCGUUACCGUGACGGUACCUAACGAGAAAGCCACGGCUAACUACGUG